UACAGAGGGUGCAAGCGUUAAUCGGAAUUACUGGGCGUAAAGCGCACGUAGGUGGUAUUUUAAGUUGGGUGUGAAAUCCCCGGGCUCAACCUGGGAACUGCAUCCAAGACUGUGAUACUAGAGUAUGGUAGAGGGAAGUGGAAUUUCGAGUGUAGCGGUGAAAUGCGUAGAUAUUCGAAGGAACACCAGUGGCGAAGGCGGCUUCCUGGACUAAUACUGACACUGAGGUGCGAAAGCGUGGGUAGCGAACAGG
rnacentral:rRNA from 1 species